CACAGGCAAGAAAGGCAGGAGAAAGCCUGAUCUCACCCUGUUCCCCUCUGCUGAUGAACUCAAGAUUUUUCUGUGGUUUCAGCAUGUAUGUCACAUCUUCAGCAUGACACACUUUUCUCCCACGAUCUAAACCUUAACCUUCCUGGCUGAUGCUGAAAGGAGAGCUUGUUUGUGAAACAUGUUCUUACAAAACUGUUUGGCGGAUUGUGACAAAGAUGAAUGACCGGAUGCUAUAAUUUAAAUUUGAAAAUAAGAUUUAACACUGACCAAAACCAACAGAUGAAGCCAGAAUUUUUCGGAGGCUACUUUGGCAUAGAGAAGCCUGAAUAGAAAUAUAUUCAUGGAAAUUCUGUGUUUAAACUCAGUCUAAAGACUUUGCACAGAGUAGAGAAAUGACUCUCAGACUCCUUCAAUUAACAAUGACCAUAAAAUUGAGAAAACAUCCGAGGCAACUGUUAUCAGCAUUGAACAACUGAAUUCACAAGCCUGUGAGGCUUAACAGAACAGGAACUCACAAAAGGAGUUAGGAAGAUGAGCUUGAACAGAGAACAGAAGACUCAUGGAGUGGAAGAAACAAAUAAUGGAAUUUGAAGCUGCUGAGGUGACUGGAAGUUGUGUAGCAGGGUAUUGUAGAAGAGGAUGCUGUUCAGCAAAGGGAUUUAAGAAAUAUGCACACAGGACCUCUUGGAUCUUUGGCUGAAUACUAUGCUACAAAUGCAGGGUGAACCUCCGUAAGACCGGGUUGAGAAGACUGUCCCAGGAACUGAGAACUAUACGAAGAUUCCAGAAGUCACAUAGUGCUUGAAGGUUGGAGUUCCAAGCGUUCAGAGUGAAGUGACCUUAUUGAAAACUCAGAGAAUCUAGUUAAUACAUCAAAAAAGUCACAAAAUAGGAUUAGCACUCCUCCCUAGAAAUAAGGGCAAUUCUAGAACCACUCUAACAAAACAUAAACCAAACACCAACAGGAUCAAAGUGAUCUCCUAGUAACUUAACUCUGCUGAAAUCAAACUCCACACUCUUUUUUUCUACAUUUUUUUUUUACUGGUGCAUUACAGUUGCACAUAAUGGUGGCAUUUGUUGUUAUAUAUUCAUACAUGUACACAAUGUAAUUUGACCAAUAUCAGUUCCCAGCAUGUCCCCCUUCCUUCCCACCUCCUAACCCUGGGUUCAUUUCCUUUACUGAUCUCCCUUUAAUUUUCAUGAAAACUCCAUACACUUUAAAGACAAAUUUUAUGUAUAGCAUAUGAUUAAAAAUUACUCAAUAUGUAUAAAACUAGAGAGUGAUUCAUAACCAGAAUAAAAACUGUCUAUGGAAAUAGUCUCGGAGAUGACACAGAAACUGGAAUUAGCAGACAAUGACUUUAAAACAAUUAUCAUAAAUAAGUUUAAGGACUUGAAGGAAAAUAUGGACAAUGACUGAAGAGAGGAGGGAUUUCAGCACAGAAGUUGAAACUAUAAAAACCAAACAGAAUCCUAGAACUCAAAAAUGUAACAUGUAAAAUGGGAAAUUUAUUGGGGGGUUUAAGAGAAGAUUGAACAUCACAGAAGAGGGGAGCAAUGAACUUGAAGACAAGUCAAAAGAGAAUUUUAAAAAUUGAAGCAUGAAUAAAAGAAAUACUAAAAACAAGGAGAGCCUUAUAAACCUGCAGCACCAUAUAAGAUGAUAUAAUGUAUUCACAUGCACUCUUACAUCAAUUGUGGUCCUUAAAAAAUAUGACAUUGAAAAACAUUUUUGAAAAAAGAAUGGUCAUAAUUAUGUCACCACCUAAGUGUGACUUUUUUCUGACUUUUUAAUAUUCUCCCCCUGCCCGUCCUAGCUCACCUUCCUCCCUCACAAAAGAGAGGAGAUUAAAACUAUUUGGGGGCCAAUGAAGCACAUUUAUGAAGGAGCCAGUGAACCAAAUACAGCAUGAGCCCCUAUUUCUAUUGAGACCUCAUAUUCAUGGAAGAGGGAUGUUGGAAUUCUCACUUUUAAUUCAUGGAACACAUGAGUGUUAUGAUUGGAUGUGAGGUAUCCCCCAAAAGCUCAUGUGUGAGGCAAUGCAAGAAGCUUUAGAUGAGAAAUGAUUGGGUGAUGAGAACCUUAACCCAAUCACUGAGCUAAUCCCCUGAUGGGAUUAAUUAAGUGGUGACUAAAAGCAGGUAGAGUGUGGCUGCAAGAGGUGGGUCCCUGGGGGCAUGCCUUUGGGGCAUAUAUUUUGUAUCUGGAGACUGGUGAUUUCUCUCUUCUCUCUGAUCCUCAUGAGAGCUGCUUGCCUCCUCCCCACUCUUCUGCCAUGAUGUUCCACCUUACCUCAAACCCCCAGGAAUGGAGCUGGCCUUCUAUGGAUUGAGACCUCUGUAACCUUGAGCCCCCCAAAAUAAAC